GGAGCUGUACCCGGAGGAACUGCUCAUUGACCAUCAGCACUGCUUCUUGGUGCUUUGUGGUCCUGCUGGACAGAGAGGAGGGUUCUGGGAAUCUCAGAUACCAGUGAAGCAAUUCUCUCCCCCUGGGGGCCUAAGCUUGGGUUUGCAGCAUGUUAGGAACAAGCUGAGCGGCAGGUAUAUGGCAGGACUAGAGGCCACCUUGGUGCUUGCGGGUCACUCACCCACCUCUCUGCUCCUGGUGGGGAAUGUACUGCUCUGUUCGUGCUGCCCUCACCAGGGCCACACCUGCCCUCACAGGGACUGAAGCUCCAGCCCCUUCCCUUCUUAUUUUACUGGUUUAAUUAUUUCCUUGUAAUAGAAAUAAAGUUUGUAUUUAGAGCUC
rnacentral:lncRNA from 1 species